AGCGAACGCUGGCGGCAGGCUUAAUACAUGCAAGUCGAGCGCCUGUAGCAAUACAGGAGCGGCAGACGGGAGAGUAACACGUGGGAACGUGCCCUUUGGUUCGGAACAACACAGGGAAACUUGUGCUAAUACCGGAUAAGCCCUUACGGGAAGAUUUAUCGCCAAAGGAUCGGCCCGCGUCUGAUUAGCUAGUUGGUGGGGUAAUGGCCCACCAAGGCGACGAUCAGUAGCUGGUCUGAGAGGAUGAUCAGCCUCAUUGGGACUGAGACACGGCCCAAACUCCUACGGGAGGCAGCAGUAGGGAAUAUUGGACAAUGGGCGCAAGCCUGAUCCAGCCAUGCCGCGUGAGUGAU
rnacentral:rRNA from 1 species